rnacentral:rRNA from 1 species
UACUCGAGUGGCGAACGGGUGAGUAACACGUGGGUGAUCUGCCCUGCACUUCGGGAUAAGCUUGGGAAACUGGGUCUAAUACCGGAUAGGAGCCAUCUUUAGUGUGGUGGUUGGAAAGUUUUUUCGGUGUAGGAUGAGCUCGCGGCCUAUCAGCUUGUUGGUGGGGUAAUGGCCUACCAAGGCGGCGACGGGUAGCCGGCCUGAGAGGGUGUACGGCCACAUUGGGACCGAGAUACGGCCCAG